ACGAUUUCAUGCCCUUACGGGUAGAUCUCCCACCCUAUGUUAUAUUACCUUUGUUGCUUUGGCAGGCCGUCAGGCUUCGGUCAGGCUACCGGCUCCGGCUGGUAAGCGCCUGCCAGAGGACCCCAAACUCUGAAUAUUAGUGUUGUCUGAGUACUAUAAAAUAGUUA
rnacentral:misc_RNA from 1 species